rnacentral:rRNA from 1 species
CAGCAGUGGGGAAUAUUGCACAAUGGGGGAAACCCUGAUGCAGCGACGCCGCGUGGAGGAAGAAGGUCUUCGGAUUGUAAACUCCUGUUGUUGAGGAAGAUAAUGACGGUACUCAACAAGGAAGUGACGGCUAACUACGUGCCAGCAGCCGCGGUAAAACGUAGGUCACAAGCGUUGUCCGGAAUUACUGGGUGUAAAGGGAGCGCAGGCGGGAAGACAAGUUGGAAGUGAAAUCUAUGGGCUCAACCCAUAAACUGCUUUCAAAACUGUUUUUCUUGAGUAGUGCAGAGGUAGGCGGAAUUCCCGGUGUAGCGGUGGAAUGCGUAGAUAUCGGGAGGAACACCAGUGGCGAAGGCGGCCUACUGGGCACCAACUGACGCUGAGGCUCGAAAGUGUGGGUAGCAAACAGGAUUAGAUACCCUGGUAGUCCACACCGUAAACGAUGAUUACUAGGUGUUGGAGGAUUGACCCCUUCAGUGCCGCAGUUAACACAAUAAGUAAUCCACCUGGGGAGUACGACCGCAAGGUUGAAACUCAAAGGAAUUGACGGGGGCCCGCACAAGCAGUGGAGUAUGUGGUUUAAUUCGACGCAACGCGAAGAACCUUACCAAGUCUUGACAUCCCUUGACAGACAUAGAAAUAUGUAUUCUCUUCGGAGCAAGGAGACAGGUGGUGCAUGGUUGUCGUCAGCUCGUGUCGUGAGAUGUUGGGUUAAGUCCCGCAACGAGCGCAACCCUUAUGGUCAGUUACUACGCAAGAGGACUCUGGCCAGACUGCCGUUGACAAAACGGAGGAAGGUGGGGAUGACGUCAAAUCAUCAUGCCCUUUAUGACUUGGGCUACACACGUACUACAAUGGCGUUAAACAAAGAGAAGCAAGACCGCGAGGUGGAGCAAAACUCAGAAACAACGUCCCAGUUCGGACUGCAGGCUGCAACUCGCCUGCACGAAGUCGGAAUUGCUAGUAAUCGUGGAUCAGCAUGCCACGGUGAAUACGUUCCCGGGCCUUGUACACACCGCCCGUCACACCAUGAGAGCCGGGGGGACCCGAAGUCGGUAGUCUAACCGCAAGGAGGACGCCGCCGAAGGUAAAACUGGUGAUUGGGGUGAAGUCGUAACAAGGUAGCCGUAGGAGAACCUGCGGCUG